GAUCAUUAAGACUAAGGUUUUAAUGACACGACUUGACAGAAUUCAAGAGAGUUUAGUUCUUUCAGUUUUAAAACUGUAAACACAUAAACAAUG
rnacentral:ncRNA from 1 species